CGCUCUGCACGAAAGCCUCUUCUUCAAGUCAAAAUAGAUACGUGUCAUACGCUUGUGAGGCGGGGAAGAGCUGUGUGGAAAAAGCUGAUCCGAUGUAGUGACCUGUGGGAGCAAGGCAGGAGAUAUCAUCAUCAGAUGAGGCAAGCCGAUUCUUCUACCGAAAUCAUCUUACCGCCGUCAAUCGGGUAAAUUUUUUGUCAAAUAUUUUGACUUUCAGUUUCGCUUGAUUGAUUACUUGAUCAUCAGGGUUUAAUUGCGUAUAUCUAUGUGAUUUAGUACUCGUUCAUAUCUUUCUUGAAGUAGUGAUUCUUCUGCUUUAUGUAGUUGAGUAAAUCAGAGCCAAAAUGUUUAUUGAUUUAGUGAAGUAUGCUACUAUACAGAUUCU